rnacentral:piRNA from 1 species
UUAUUGCAGAAAGAAAAACAA